CCUACGGGUGGCUGCAGUGGGGAAUUUUGCGCAAUGCUCGUAAGAGUGACGCAGCGACGCCGCGUGAAUGACGAAGGCCUUCGGGUCGUAAAGUUCUUUCGACAGGGAAGAAAAUGCCUAUAAGUAACUAUGUAUGUCUUGACAAUACCUGUAUAAGCGGCCCCGGCUAACUCCGUGCCAGCACCCGCGUUAAUACGGGGGGGCGGAGCGUUGUUCGGAGUGACUGGGCGUAAAGAGCACGUAGUCGGUGUAGUAAGUAAUUAGUCAAAGACUAGAGCUAAAAUUUAGUAAGGCUAGUGAUACUAUAAUACGAGAGGAGCAGAGAGGAUGGCAGAAUUUCGGGUGUAGCGGUGAAACGCGUAGAUACCAGGAGGAAUAUCGUUAGCGAAGGCGGCAAUCUGGCUGGAAACUGAGGCUGAGGUGCGAAAGCGUGGGUAGCAAACAGGAUUAGAUACCCGGUAGUC
rnacentral:rRNA from 1 species